GCUGAGAUGGCCGAGCGGUUAAGGCGGUAGAUUUAAGACCAGUUAGUCAUAUCUCUCCUGGGGAAACCCGCGUGAGUUCGAACCUCACUCUCAGCA